rnacentral:rRNA from 1 species
UGGGGAAUAUUGCACAAUGGGGGGAAACCCUGAUGCAGCAAUGCCGCGUGUGUGAAGAAGGCCUGCGGGUUGUAAAGCACUUUUAUCAGGAAAGAACCUGCCUGGGACUAAUAAGCCCAGGCACUGACGGUACCUGAGGAAUAAGCACCGGCUAACUCCGUGCCAGCAGCCGCGGUAAUACGGAGGGUGCAAGCGUUAAUCGGAAUUACUGGGCGUAAAGCGAGUGUAGGCGGCUACGUAAGUCGGUUGUGAAAGCCCCGGGCUUAACCUGGGAAUUGCGAUCGAUACUGCGUAGCUAGAGUCUGAUAGAGGGAAGUGGAAUUCCAGGUGUAGCGGUGAAAUGCGUAGAUAUCUGGAGGAACAUCAGUGGCGAAGGCGGCUUCCUGGAUCAAGACUGACGCUCAGGCUCGAAAGCGUGGGUAGCAA